GGAGCCGUAGCGAAAGCGAGUUUUAACUGAGCGUUCAGUUACUUGACGUAGACCCGAAACCGGGCGACCUACCCAUGAGCAGGAUGAAGCGAAAGUAAAAUUUCGUGGAGGUCCGAACCCACGAGCGUUGAAAAGCUCGGGGAUGACUUGUGGGUAGCGGUGAAAUUCCAAUCGAGCCCGGAGAUAGCUGGUUCUCCCCGAAAUAGCUUUAGGGCUAGCCUCAAGGUGAGAGAUACGGAGGUAGAGCACUGAAUGUCCUAGGGGGUAUUGCACCUACCGAAGACUAUCAAACUCCGAAUGCCGUCAUCUUAUACUUGGGAGUCAGACUGUGGGUGAUAAGAUUCAUAGUCGAAAGGGCAACAGCCCAGAUCGUCAGCUAAGGUCCCUAAAUGUAAGUUAAGUGGUAAAGGAUGUGGGAUUGCACAGACAACCAGGAUGUUGGCUUAGAAGCAGCCACUCAUUCAAAGAGUGCGUAAUAGCUCACUGGUCGAGUGAUCCUGCGCCGAAGAUUUCCGGGGCUAAAACUUACUACCGAAGCUACGGCAUCAGUAAUGAUGGGUAGGGGAGCUUCCCAUACGGGUUGAAGCAUGACCGUAAGGACAUGUGGACAGUAUGGGAGUGAGAAUGUUGGCAUGAGUAGCGAGAUGUGGGUGAGAAUCCCACAGGCCGUAAACCCAAGGUUUCCAGGGGAAGGUUCGUCCGCCCUGGGUUAGUCGGGACCUAAGCUGAGGCCGAAAGGCGUAGGUGAUGGACAACAGGUUGAUAUUCCUGUACUACCGAUAACCGUUUGAGAGAAGGGAUGACACAGUAGGAUAAGCUAAGCACACUGUUGGUUAUGUGUGCCCAAGCAUUGAGGCAGUCAAAGUAGGCAAAUCCGCUUUGAUAAUGCUGGGAUGUGAUGGGGAGCGAAAUUUAGUAGCGAAGUAGCUGAUUUCACACUGUCAAGAAAAGUCUCUAUCGAGGUUAAAGGUACCCGUACCGCAAACCGACACAGGUGGGUGAGGAGAGUAUCCUAAGGCCAGCGAGAGAACUGUUGUUAAGGAACUCGGCAAAAUGACCCCGUAACUUAGGGAUAAGGGGUGCCACCAUCAGGUGGCCGCAGAGAAUAGGCCCAAGCGACUGUUUACCAAAAACAUAGGUUUCUGCUAAGUCGCAAGACGAUGUAUAGGAGCUGACGCCUGCCCGGUGCUGGAAGGUUAAGGGGAUCUGUUAGAGCAAUCGAAGCAGUGAACUUAAGCCCCAGUAAACGGCGGCCGUAACUAUAACGGUCCUAAGGUAGCGAAAUUCCUUGUCGGGUAAGUUCCGACCCGCACGAAAGGCGUAACGAUUUGGGCACUGUCUCAACAACAGACUCGGUGAAAUUGUAAUUCCGGUGAAGAUGCCGGAUACCUGCGACAGGACGGAAAGACCCCAUGGAGCUUUACUGUAGCUUGACAUUGGGUCUUGGUACUACAUGUACAGGAUAGGUGGGAGGCUUUGAAACCAGGACGCCAGUUUUGGCGGAGCCAUCCUUGGGAUACCACCCUUGUAGUACUGGGACUCUAACCAUAGGCCAUGAAUCUGGUCUUGGGACACUGUCAGGUGGGCAGUUUGACUGGGGCGGUCGCCUCC
rnacentral:rRNA from 1 species